AGAUGCCAGGCGCCCAGCGGAGCCCUCCUUAGGCGGCUUACCUCAGACUAUGAGUGGUGACAGUGGGGGAAUGUCAGCAGUUUCAGAUGGGAGUAGCAGCAGCCUAGCAGCCCCUGCUUCUCUCUUCCCGUUGAAGGUGCUACCGCUGACAACACCCCUGGUGGAUGGCGAGGACGAGAGGUAAGAUCACGUGCUUCUGCAGCCAUCGGGCAGUUCCAAGUUAAUCUCUCAAGUAGCAAUACAAUACGUGUGGGUGCAGUUAGUCUGAAGAUAUAUAUAUACACACAUAUAUAUGUACAUAUAUACACACAUAUACAUAUAUACAUAUGUAUAUAUACCUACACCUUUUCGUUUGCAUGUGAGAAGUGCAUAUUCAUGGUAAGUUUCCCAGAGGAAGAAUGUCACGGAAUGGUUUCAGAGUGGUUGGGAGGCAGACUAGGUUAUGACAGUAAUGUUCACGGUAGUUAUAAAGUGUAAGUGUAUAUGCCAAAUAGACUUGGGGCUACCAGGUAGCUUUUAUUAGUUAUAAAGUGCUUUUGAGAAGAUUAUGAAAAGCGGCUUACCUUUUGUUACCCCACGAAAUAGUUAAAGCUAUUCUUUGGAGCUACUAGAAUCUUUAUGGUGAUUUCUUGUUGGGGGUGUGGUUGCCACGUCUGUUCUUGCGGUACAGCCCUUUUCUUUCCUAGUAUGUUUGAUCUCACGCUGUGAAAGAUACAGUUACCUGCUUGCCCUCCUAAGGCACUGUGGGAAAGAUGACCUAAUCUGGGUGAUAUAGGCUGCCCUCAGACUGUUGUUAGCUUCUGUAAACUCUGUCGGAACAGAAGAGGAAUGUGCGCCUUAAAGCGUAUUUUCCAAGGGCAGAAUACCUACAUUUAUCCUUGGUAGUCAGUAAUGCUGUACAGUCUUGUCUUCUGAUAGUAGAUAAAAGUGGUAGCCAUUUUAAAGAGUGAGGUCAGUCUUACAAGGGCUGAUUUUAUACUGGUUAUCUGUCCCACCUGUUUUCUCUUCUCGCCAAAAGACAGACAGGCUAAAAGGCAGUAUUAGGCCAGCAUUUUUUUUUUUUCCAAUUAUGCUGGAAAUAAUAUGCUAAAUCACACUUGUGAGUCAGACUGUGAACUUUGAUUUUAUAUUACUUUAAGAUUCUUUCUUUUUUUUUUUUUUAAAAAAAGGAAAGUUCUUUUUGCAAGUUUGCCAGUAUAUAUAAACAGAGAAGUAUAGUAGUUGUAAAAAGACUUCUUUUUCACUGAAGUUUUGAAAAAACAUUUAAGAUAGUUAAUUAUUUUAGGAUUUUUUUUUUGAGAUAUUUGACAUUAAACUUUCAACUAUUCUAGUUGAAACAUUUAUAUUCUAUUUGUAUAUUUGUGGGUUUACUUUGAAAAACUGAAAAUGUUGCAAAAGAGUUUUAUAAAGAGAAAACAAGGCCAUGUGUUCUGGUGAAGUUUUCACUAUUUUUUUCCCAAGUCAUUUAACAUUGAAACAGGUGAAAAUACUUUUUUAGUUUUUUUGUUUUUCUAAUAGUCAUAUACUUAAAUUUUGUUACUAACUAAAUGUAGUCCUUACCCUCCUACAAAAGUACCUCACAAGAUGGACUGUUUCGUGCAAUUAUAACUAUUGUUCAACCUUUAAUUUUAUCUUUAUCAUUCUGAUCCUCACCUGUAAUUUUAGUUUAAGGAACUAUUUACUCUAAUUUUUUUGUUUCCUAAACCAAAAGGGUGUGAACUGAGUGAAGUUCCUUGUUAAAAUAACUAUAUAAUACAGAUGUCAACCUAAGAUGUGAAAGACAGAUGACAUAGAGACAUGACAUUACCACACACUGGUAACAAACCUGGGAAGGUUUUCUUAAUUACUGUCUGUGAGCUCCUGGGAGGGCUUCCUCCUUUGUUUUUCCUCCUGUUGGUAGGGAGAUGGCAGGCCUGGGAAGACCUGCUGUCCACAGUUAAGUCAGAGGAUACUGCACACUGGUUUUUAUCCGUAGAGUGAAUCCCAGUGUGAGAGUGCAGAGCAGUUUCCUAAACAGAUGCGUAGUGACUGAGGUCAAGGCGGGUCAGGAGUCACUGGGGUAGAGCUGUGUUCCAGGGAAGCACUGGGAAGCAAUUGUCUGCAGUAACCAACGGAAGCAGUCCUCAGACGGUCUUUGAACUUUAUUACAAGUUUGUGUCAGUUGACAUCAGAGUUGAGUCAUCAAGAGUGGACACACUGUUUGCCAGGUGUCCAAGUUCUCUAAGGUCGGAGUGUCGUCCUCCCCCCUCCCCCUCAAGGAGCAUGCUGGACCAACCAUCCAGGUCUAGUUUUAAUUGUGAUUUAUUACAGAUUGUUUUUAUCUCAUUGUAGUUUGAUUUAAAAAAAAAAACUUAAAUUU
rnacentral:lncRNA from 1 species